rnacentral:rRNA from 1 species
UGAAUACGAGACGCUAAGGCGUCGAAGUAGUGUAUGUCAUACUUCCAAGAAAAGCUUGCACUGUCAUAGAUAAAAAACGCCUGUACCAUAACCGACACAGGUGGGUAGGUAGAGUAUACCAAGGUGCGCGAGAUAACUCUCUCUAAGGAACUCGGCAAAAUAACUCCGUAACUUCGGGAGAAGGAGUGCCUUAUUCGUAAGGUUGCAAUAACAAGAUCCAAGCAACUGUUUAUCAAAAACACAGGUCUCCGCUAAGUCGUAAGACGAUGUAUGGGGGCUGACGCCUGCCCAGUGCCAGAAGGUUAAAGAAGUUGGUUAGCAAUUGCGAAGCUGAUAACUGAAGCCCUGGUGAACGGCGGCCGUAACAAUAACGGUCCUAAGGUAGCGAAAUUCCUUGUCGGGUAAGUUCCGACCCGCACGAAAGGCGUAAUGAUUUGGAUACUGUCUCGGAGAGGGGCUCGGUGAAAUAGACUUGUCUGUGAAGAUGCGGACUACCUGCACCAGGACAGAAAGACCCUAUGAAGCUUUACUGUAACUUGAAAUUGAAAUUGGACUUUAUUCGCGCAGUAUAGGUGGGAGGCGUUGAUUAUAAUCUUGUGGGAUUAUUGGAGCCAUCAGUGAGAUACCACUCUUGUAAUGUUAGAUUUCUAACUUUGAAUCAUUAUCUGGUCAAAGAACAGUUUCAGGCGGGCAGUUUGACUGGGGCGGUCGCCUCCUAAACGGUAACGGAGGCGUACAAAGGUUUCCUCUGAACGGUUAGAAAUCGUAUCUAGAGUGUAAAGGCAUAAGGAAGCUUGACUGUGAGACCUACAAGUCGAGCAGGGACGAAAGUCGGUCUUAGUGAUCUGACGGUACUGAGUGGAAAGGCCGUCACUCAACGGAUAAAAGUUACUCUAGGAUAACAGGCUGAUCUCCCCCAAGAGUUCACAUCGACGGGGAGGUUUGGCACCUCGAUGUCGGCUCAUCGCAUCCUGGGGCGGUAGUACGUCCCAAGGGUUGGGCUGUUCGCCCAUGAAAGCGGUACGCGAGCUGGGUUCAGAACGUCGUGAGACAGUUCGGUCCAUAUCCGGUGUAGGCGUUAGAAUAUUGAGAGGAGCCUUCUUUAGUACGAGAGGACCGAGAAGGACAUACCUCUGGUGUACCAGUUAUCGUGCCAACGGUAAACGCUGGGUAGCUAUGUAUGGAGUGGAUAACCGCUGAAAGCAUCUAAGUGGGAAGCCCACCUC